ACACCGGCAGCCCAAGUGGUGGCCAUUUUUAUUGGGCCUAAAGCGUUCGUAGCCGGCCUGAUAAGUCUCUGGUGAAAUCCCGCAGCUUCACUGUGGGAAUUGCUGGAGAUACUAUCAGGCUUGAGGUCGGGAGAGGUUAGAGGUACUCCCAGGGUAGGGGUGAAAUCCUAUAAUCCUGGAAGGACCACCUGUGGCGAAGGCGUCUAACUGGAACGAACCUGACGGUGAGUAACGAAAGCCAGGGGAGCGAACCGGAUUAGAUACCCGGGUAGUCCUGGCCGUAAACGAUGUGGACUUGGUGUUGGGAUGGCUUCGAGCUGCCCCAGUGCCGAAGGGAAGCUGUUAAGUCCACCGCCUGGGAAGUACGGCCGCAAGGCUGAAACUUAAAGGAAUUGGCGGGG
rnacentral:rRNA from 1 species